rnacentral:misc_RNA from 1 species
AUGGAGUGUGUGAGAACGGCCGAAGUGUUUGAGGUUCGAAAAUCUGGUGUACGCGCCGCCGGACGACAGUGAUACUCCACCCCACCCCCUCGUCCACUCAGCUGUCAGCAGCGCCAAUGAAGCAGCACCGAAGAUGCAGCACGCACACUCACACGCACUCCCUGUAGAAGAGAAGAGAACAGAGGCAUCCGCCAUGGCCUCUGUCUCGCCGUCUGCGCCACCACAAAGCCCUCUUCUCAUGAUCUCAACGACACCGACGCCACCGCUGACGGCACAGGGCCCACUGGCGGGACGCAGACCUCCACCACAUGUGUCGCUGACCCUGGCCCGUGCGGCGGAUGCAGCCGGUGGUGCUGGAGCUGCAGCUGCCCUCAUGAGCACUGCGGAUACCGUGGCGAGGCCGAUAGCAAGUCCCUCUCGCACAGUCCACACGAGCAGCAGCGCGCCAGCGCAGUGUUCCCUAACGUCUGCGAGAGGCCGAAGAGCGCACAAGACGGCGCCCUUCGGGUCACCGCAGCCAGUGCUGCUGCGCAACCCAUACGGCAUGGAGCGGCCGCGCCUUGUCGACGCUCUGCACGGCGGCGGUCGCGCCGGCUUUCGCGCUCACCAACACGGGUCGACUUCCUCAUCCCACGCCGACGCGGAGGUGCUGCUGUCACGGCAAGAUGCCGCGCUCUACGACGCGUGCGCCACGCGGCUGCGAGUGGUGCGGCAGGAGCGCCGCGCUCUGGCCGCAAAGCUGGCGGCCUCCAAGCAGCAGCUUGAGCAUGCGCAUGCGCUCCUUGACGCGUGGCGUGAGAAGCCUAAGCAGCCGCCCGCUACGGCACAGACAAAGCAAGCGGAGAGGGAUGGGGCAGUGCCGGAGCCGCAGCCAAGCAGCUCGCCGAGGAAGCAGGAGACGGAGAGGAUGAUACGUCAGCUGCGGGAGCUGGACAGAGAAAACGAUGAGCUUCGUCGACGCUACGAGGCGCUUGUGCAAGAGAAACGGCACUGCUUGACGGUGCAUAACGCACGACUGCGGCGGCCAGCACCCGCCGCAGCGCCUUCCUCGACCACAUCGCGCCGAUCCUCCGCGACAGCUGCGUGCAACGAGUCCAGUGCCUUCGCACGCGAUGUAAAGAUACUUGACACUCGCCUCGCUACUGCCAUGGCGCAGCAGCAAGCACUGCAGCAAGGGCUUGCGCUGGCCGUCGCAAAGGAACGCGGACGCAUCACGGCUCUCACUCACCUGCAAGCACGCGGCUUUGCAUGUAUGUAUGCACCCGAACCGAACGGCAGCGCCAUCACAUCCGCCUCGCGCGAAGCGGGCGCCUGACCGUACCUCCCUUUACGCACACACACACAAAUAAACUGACAUAUGUGAGACUCGCUCGCCUCCCCACCCCCCAAACACCGAGUAACAACGUCGUCGACACACUCGAUAAAAGCAAAACAAUGAGCGAAGCCCGUAGCGGCACGGACGACGACGCAAGAGACAUGCACACGCUGCCACGUGGUCUUGUGAAGGGCCGAAUGCUCUUUGCGGUAUCUUGAUGGUGGCGGGGGUGGUGAGCUGGCUUGUGAACGGCGCACACUCACGGAACCAAACCCCGUCUCUUCUCCGCCUCACUUGCCCGGUCGCCAUCGUCUCAUGCCCCUCGCCUUUCAUGGCCCCCUCCCUAC